UACGGAGGGUGCGAGCGUUGUCCGGAAUCAUUGGGCGUAAAGGGCGCGUAGGUGGCUCGUGAAGCGUGCGGUGAAAGUCCGAGGCUCAACCUCGGAUCGGCCGUGCGGACUCGCGGGCUCGAGCGUUGUAGAGGCGGGUGGAAUUCCGGGUGUAGCGGUGGAAUGCGUAGAGAUCCGGAAGAACACCAGUGGCGAAGGCGGUCUGCUGGGCAGUUGCUGACACUGAUGCGCGACAGCGUGGGGAGCAAACAGG
rnacentral:rRNA from 1 species